ensembl:piRNA 21ur-3596 ncRNA
UGGCAAUUUUUUUCCAUUGGU